AGAUAACGCUGGCGGCGUGCCUAACACAUGCAAGUCGAACGGUCCCGCAAGGGAGAGUGGCGGAAGGGUGAGUAACACGUGGGAAUCUACCUCCUCGCAGGGAACAACCUCUCGAAAGAGAGGCUAAUACCCAAAGGGUCAGAAAUGAUCAGAGUCGAAAGGCGUGAGGAGAGGAGCCCGCGGCCCAUCAGCUAGUUGGUGAGGUAAUGGCUUACCAAGGCUACGACGGGUAGGGGAUCUGAGAGGAUGUCCCCCACACUGGAACUGAAACACGGUCCAGACGCCUACGGGUGGCAGCAGUGAGGAAUAUUGGACAAUGGGCGAAAGCCCGAUCCAGCAACGCCGCGUGGAGGAUGAAGGCCUUCGGGCCGUAAACUUCUUUAGAGGGAGACGAGAAAGGACGGUAUCCCUAGAAUAAGCGACGGCAAACUACGUG
rnacentral:rRNA from 1 species